GCCCGGAUUCCGGGCACCA
rnacentral:tRNA from 1 species